UAAACACUUAUAACUAACAAAAAUGAACUAAACAAAAAACGCCCCCAGAUAUUAACAACAGAGUUGCUAAGCCACGGAAAAACUCAUGUGUAAUAAAAUCGCUCUUUCUCUUUACUAAAUAAGCACUUAAAGCUAGCCCAAUGAAAAAAGCACAUAGCGGACCGGAUUAGUAAAUAAAUUAAGAACUUUUAUUUUUGAUUUAUAAACUGGGCAGUGUGCUUAAUAGUAUGUAAGAUGAAAACCGCCAUUUCAAGGUAUCGCAUCGAGUGAUGAGAGCAGGCAACUCUAACUUGUAUCCGUUCUCUUUGCUUUUCCUUUUUGUUUUUUAAUGCUUAGCAUAAAUAUUUCAAAUAAUUCGGAAAGUUUCAAAUCCAAACUUAUCUCUCACCUCAUUUAAAAUCUCUCUGCAAUAUGUAUUCCACUAAAUAUUGCCGGUUUUUGGUUAAAUAAACAAAUCAAAUAUGAAACAAUUUUGAAUGUAUUAGUGAAUUUUUUCGUUUUUUUUUUUUUGUUCUACGAAAUAAAUAGAUGGAUUUUGCGUUAUUAUUUUAAUGAAAGUAAAAAAUCAAUUUAUUUAAUUAAUAAUAAUGAUAACUAAUUUAUAUUUAAUAAUUAUAUGAAUUAAUUAAUUUGCCUAAGAAUAUAAAUUAAGACUAGUGAAGGCUUCAACUUUCGUGAACGUAAAUAUAUGAUGAACACAUCAUUUAAACAUAUUUGCUUUUGGUGUGUAUGCGCGUGUAGUUAAAACUUUUUAAAAAAACAUUUACUAAAAUAAACAAAAAAUAAUUGCACUCUGUAAUAUGACGACCGAUGAAAUAUUACACCAAACAAAUUGCAGACCCGCAUGAGCUAUCUUUAUAAAUUCGCCUGAUACAUCGCCCAGAGCGUUGAUGAAAGAAAUCAUCGCACGGCUCUUGGACUCUACUCUCUGAUACACGCAAUAUUGAAAGAAAGAAGAACAAUAAGGGUGGCACAGUCACUUGAAAUGAAACAAUUUAUUCGAAAUUAAUAUGUGAUGGCAAGAUUCCACAAGUUUGCCGCCCAGUUCCCACAAAUUCCACACAAGUUGACCGCCCAGAUUCCACAAGUUAACCCCCUCUUUUUCAAGUUAAUUGCGUAUAUAUUCUUAUUCAUACAAAAAUAAUGUCACAAAUAUUCCGUUGUACAUGCAUCGAAUAAAAAAAAAAAGAAGCUUCUUUCGAUUCGACAGCGGUCGACUUACCGAACGAUACUCUCGAAAGCCUUUCGAGUCGAGUGCGCGCUCGAUAUUAUUAACACCUAUGUAUGCAUGGUGCACCUGAUCGCAGCCAACGAAAGCAUGUCAACGAAAGGCAUGUUUUUUGGUUUGCGGUAUGACCUAUAAAUGAGGAUGCAAAUUUUACCUUUAGUUACGAUCACGAGCUCACGAGCCAUGUCAGACACAUAAAAACUUAGUCGUAUAAAUGCUCAAUUCCGGAGAGAAUGGCAUUAUUACCGCUAAACUUGUCCUCAUCAUCAACAUUUACGUCACAACGCCAUCUGUGCCAUGUCAUUAUUGGAGCGUAGGAAAUCAUUAAUGUUAAAGCGAAGUGUUUGACAAGCCGAACAUUUUCCUUAUCAAGCGAACGAUUAGGAUAACUAUUCAUUGAUAUUAUCGCAUAUGAAGCUGCCGUACACGAGUGCUUGCACGUUUCGAUUUCUAAGUUGCUUCUUCACCCUCUGAUCUGUUUAAAAGUGCGACUUCGAACGGAAUUUUUUCACAUUAGACAAAAAGCUUGACGAGAUUAAUCGAUCGUUUCAAAGCAGCUGACACAUGUAACAUUUCCUAUAUCUAUCUGUCUUAGGGUUUCAUAUACAGACUCAACAUUAUGCUCUAUUAUUAUUAUUAUUAUUUAUAAUUAUUAUCGUAUUUUUAUCUGGUAUACUCCUAGUUUUUCAAAGUUUUGUC